rnacentral:rRNA from 1 species
UGACCGCUGGCGGCGUGCCUAAUACAUGCAAGUCGAGCGAACAGACGAGGAGCUUGCUCCUCUGACGUUAGCGGCGGACGGGUGAGUAACACGUGGAUAACCUACCUAUAAGACUGGGAUAACUUCGGGAAACCGGAGCUAAUACCGGAUAAUAUAUUGAACCGCAUGGUUCAAUAGUGAAAGACGGUUUUGCUGUCACUUAUAGAUGGAUCCGCGCCGCAUUAGCUAGUUGGUAAGGUAACGGCUUACCAAGGCAACGAUGCGUAGCCGACCUGAGAGGGGGAUCGGCCAAACUGGAACUGAGACACGGUCCAGAAUCCUAGGGGGGGCAGCAGUAGGGAAUCUUCCGAAAUGGGCGAAAGCCUGAGGGGGCAACGCCGCGGGAGUGAUGAAGGUCUUCGGAUCGUAAAACUCUGUUAUUAGGGAAAAAAAAAUGUGUAAGUAACUAUCCACGUCUUGACGGUACCUAAUCAGAAAGCCACGGCUAACUACGG